rnacentral:rRNA from 1 species
GAUGAACGCUGGCGGCGUGCCUAAUACAUGCAAGUCGAGCGGUAACAGAGAUAGUUUACUAUCUGCUGACGAGCGGCGGACGGGUGAGUAAUGUAUAGGAACAUACCCCAAAGUGAGGGAUAAGCCAGAGAAAUCUGGUCUAAUACCGCAUGUGAUCUUCGGAUUAAAGCUUUAUGCGCUUUGGGAAUGGCCUAUAUCCGAUUAGCUAGUUGGUAGAGUAAAAGCCUACCAAGGCAACGAUCGGUAGCUGGUUUGAGAGGAUGAUCAGCCACACUGGAACUGAGACACGGUCCAGACUUCUACGGAAGGCAGCAGUAGGGAAUUUUCCACAAUGGACGAAAGUCUGAUGGAGCAACGCCGCGUGCAGGAUGAAGGCUUUCGGGUCGUAAACUGCUUUUAUAAGUGAAGAAUAUGACGGUAGCUUAUGAAUAAGGGUCUGCUAACUACGUGCCAGCCGCCGCGGUA